UCUUCAUUGUUUACCUUCAUUCUUUACCUCUGCUUUUCUGUGAAACGAGAAAACAUCUUUGAAAUAGUAUAGAAAUUAGACACCGGUAAUAUUUCAUGUUAGAUUACAUUAGUUAUCUCGUGGAAUCGAAGGCUGUAGUGGAGAGAUCUUUGUCAGGACAACUGUGUAAUCUUUUGGUAACGGCAAUUUCUACAUAAUUCAGGUAUAGUUUCUUUAAACAAUAUCCAUUUUACACUAAUUUUUUCAAUUUUUCUUAGUGAUAUGUGAAAUAUCUUUGAAUAUUUUUUAUAUACAGCUUUCAGUUCUUUUCUUGACUAUUUUGUGUAUUUCCAAUUUUCAACUUGUAUAUUUUUGCUUCAUUACUUUCAAUUGCUAUCCUGAUUUUUUUGUGCACUUCCAGUAGUCAACUUAUGAAUUUAUUAAGUUCAUGAUUUUUGAUGAAUUACUUACAUUAUAGAUUUAGAAAAAUAUUGGAUGUGUAGGUUGAUUGGG